rnacentral:rRNA from 1 species
GUACACUCCUACGGGAGGCAGCAGUGGGGAAUUUUGGACAAUGGGCGAAAGCCUGAUCCAGCAAUGCCGCGUGAGUGAAGAAGGCCUUCGGGUUGUAAAGCUCUUUUGUCAGGGAAGAAACGGUGAAAGCUAAUAUCUUUUGCUAAUGACGGUACCUGAAGAAUAAGCACCGGCUAACUACGUGCCAGCAGCCGCGGUAAUACGUAGGGUGCAAGCGUUAAUCGGAAUUACUGGGCGUAAAGCGUGCGCAGGCGGUUUUGUAAGUCUGAUGUGAAAUCCCCGGGCUCAACCUGGGAAUUGCAUUGGAGACUGCAAGGCUAGAAUCUGGCAGAGGGGGGUAGAAUUCCACGUGUAGCAGUGAAAUGCGUAGAUAUGUGGAGGAACACCGAUGGCGAAGGCAGCCCCCUGGGUCAAGAUUGACGCUCAUGCACGAAAGCGUGGGGAGCAAACAGGAUUAGAAACCCUUGUAGUCC